AAAGUCGUAACAAGGUAACCGUAGGUGAACCUGCGGUUGGAUCAUUAAAAAACAUGGCCGACUAGGUCCGCCUAUUCGGCCGCAUACCCUGGGGGAUGACGCUGGAUCAUUCUUGACCAGCGCUCCCUUAUGAAGUACAUUUUGUGAACCGUUCCGUCUCUGGCGAGAGGGUAGUGAAAGCUACUUGUCAGCAUUGCAUCUUUGCAGUGCCGUGGACAUCUCGCCAACCCCUUCUAAACAUAUAAUCUGUAUUUGAUGUCUGACAUUUCUUGUAUAAAUAUACAAAACAACUUUUGGCAACGGAUCUCUUGGCUCUC
rnacentral:misc_RNA from 1 species